rnacentral:rRNA from 1 species
CCUACGGAUGGCAGCAGUGAGGAAUAUUGGUCAAUGGGCGCGAGCCUGAACCAGCCAAGUAGCGUGAAGGAUGACUGCCCUACGGGUUGUAAACUUCUUUUAUAAAGGAAUAAAGUGAGGCACGUGUGCCUUUUUGUCUGUACUUUAUGAAUAAGGAUCGGCUAACUCCGUGCAAGCAGCCGCGGUAAUAAGGAGGAUACGAGCGUUAGACGGAUUUAUUGGGUUUAAAGGGAGCGUAGAUGGGUUGUUAAGUCAGUUGUGAAAGUUUGCGGCUCAACCGUAAAAUUGCAAUUGAUACUGGCAGUCUUGAGUACAGUUGAGGUAGGCGGAAUACGUGGUGUAGCGGUGAAAUGCUUAGAUAUCACGAAGAACUCCGAUUGCGAAGGCAGCUUACUAAACUGCCACUGACAUUGAUGCUCGAAAGUGUGGGUAUCAAACAGGAUUAGAUACCCGAGUAGUG